GACGAACGCUGGCGGCGUGCUUAACACAUGCAAGUCGAACGGAAAGGCCCUGCUUUUGUGGGGUGCUCGAGUGGCGAACGGGUGAGUAACACGUGAGUAACCUGCCCUUGACUUUGGGAUAACUUCAGGAAACUGGGGCUCAUACCGGAUAGGAGCUCCUGCUGCAUGGUGGGGGUUGGAAAGUUUCGGCGGUGGGGGCUGGACUCGCGGCUUAUCAGCUUGUUGGUGGGGUAGUGGCUUACCAAGGCUUUGACGGGUAGCCGGCCUGAGAGGGUGACCGGCCACAUUGGGACUGCGAUACGGCCCAGACUCCUACGGGAGGCAGCAGUGGGGAAUAUUGCACAAUGGGCGGAAGCCUGAUGCAGCAACGCCGCGUGCGGGAUGACGGCCUUCGGGUUGUAAACCGCUUUCGCCUGUGACGAAGCGUGAGUGACGGUAAUGGGUAAAGAAGCACCGGCUAACUACGUG
rnacentral:rRNA from 1 species